rnacentral:misc_RNA from 1 species
GCAGACAGAGGUUCUAUACAGAUUGAAAUAGAGCAACUUACAGACGAAAUUAAUAGAAUUGCUGAUCAAGCUCAAUAUAACCAAAUGCACAUGUUAUCAAACAAAUCUGCUUCUCAAAAUGUAAGAACAGCUGAAGAGCUUGGAAUGCAGCCUGCAAAAAUUAACACACCAGCAUCACUUUCGGAUCUCAAGCUUCUUGGACUUUAAGAGUUCAUGUGGGAGCAAAUCAAGAUGAAGCUAUUGCUGUAAAUAUUUAUGCAGCUAAUGUUGCAAAUCUUUUUUCUGGUGAGGGAGCUCAAACUGCUCAGGCUGCACCGGUUCAAGAAGGUGCUCAACAAGAAGGAGCUCAACAGCCAGCACCUNCAGCACCUUCACACGGAGUUAAUUCUCCUGUUAAUGUUACAACUACAGUUGAUGCUAAUACAUCACUUGCUAAAAUAGAAAAUGCUAUUAGAAUGAUAAGCGAUCAAAGAGCAAAUUUAGGUGCUUUCCAAAAUAGACUUGAAUCUAUAAAGAAUAGUACUGAGUAUGCAAUUAUCGACUUCAUUUUUCAUAUGGCAGGAAUUUUGUGGAAGAGCUUUUG